rnacentral:rRNA from 1 species
UAACAAGUAAAAACAAAACCAUUUCCUUCUCGAACUUAUUUUGAGCUAGAAGAAUUAUGUUCCAUAGCACCCACCCUAUAGUGUUGCAAUACUAAGGGAAUAAAAACUUCUAGAAGCUACAUACCUAUCGCGAAUAAAGAUAGCUAGUUUUCCUACAAAAUUAAUUUUCGUUAAGCAAACUAUUAAAAACACCCACACUAAAUAAUAGUUUUGUAAAAAAAUUUAGGCCAAUCUAAAUUUCUCCACUCACUAUCUCCCUAAUUUCACCUCCAUAGGCUUCAAACCAGCCAUUAAAAAGAAAUACGUUCUAGUAUUACUUAAAAAAUUCUUUACAAAUCAAAGUAUAAAAAAAGUAGGAUAUAUUUCACAAUACUAAAAGAAACACAAAUACUGUAUAAAAUGAUUAUUUUCUCACUAUUUUAACCUAAUAACACUAAAACUUCCUUAAAUAAAAAUUUUACUUAUUAAAUCCUCUCUCAGGAACUCGGCAAACAUGAACUUUGCCUGUUUAAUAAAAACAUGUCUUUUAGAAAAAAAAUUAAAAGUCCAACCUGCCCGGUGAUAGAUUUAACGGCCGCGGUAGCCUGACCGUGCUAAGGUAGCGUAAUCAUUUGCCCUUUAAUUGUGGGCUUGUAUGAAUGGUUAGACAAGAGUUCACCUGUCUCAGAGAAGCAUUUAAAAAUUAACCUUUAGGUGCAGAGGCCUAAAUUCUAGUAAAAGACAAGAAGACCCUAUCGAGCUUUAAUCUACUUUUUUGUAUAUAAAAUAAAAAGAUUUUUAUUGGGGCAAUAUAGGAACAAACAAAGCUUCCUAAAAACCACAAGAAGUACUUUUUUAAAAAGAAACAUUAAAAAUUAUUCUGAAAAUAGCUACCGUAGGGAUAACAGACUAAUCCCCCUUGAGAGUCCACAUUGACAGGGGGGCUUGGCACCUCGAUGUUGGCUUAAGAUAACCAUUAUUUUCUGAAGCAGAACUCUAAUAUGGUAGGUUUGUUCAACCUUUAAUAUCUUA